UCUCCGUUGGUGAACCAGCGGAGGGAUCAUUACCGAGUUUACAACUCCCAAACCCAAUGUGAACCAUACCAAACUGUUGCCUCGGCGGGGUCACGCCCCGGGUGCGUCGCAGCCCCGGAACCAGGCGCCCGCCGGAGGGACCAACCAAACUCUUUCUGUAGUCCCCUCGCGGACGUUAUUUUUACAGCUCUGAGCAAAAAUUCAAAAUGAAUCAAAACUUACAACAACGGAUCUCUUGGUUCUG
rnacentral:misc_RNA from 1 species